rnacentral:rRNA from 1 species
AACGAACGUUGGCGGCGUGGAUUAGGCAUGCAAGUCGAGCGCGAAAGUCUCCUUCGGGAGGCGAGUAGAGCGGCGAACGGGUGAGUAACGCGUGGGAAACCUGCCCUUGAGUUGGGGAUAACACUCCUAACGGAGUGCUAAUACCGGAUAACACGACCGGGCCUCAUGGCUUGGUCGUCAAAGCUGGCCUCUGCUUGCAAGCUGGCGCUUGAGGAUGGUCCCGCGUCCCAUUAGCUUGUUGGUGAGGUAACGGCUCACCAAGGCUUCGAUGGGUAGCUGGUCUGAGAGGAUGGUCAGCCACACUGGGACUGAGAUACGGCCCAGACUCCUACGGGUGGCAG